rnacentral:rRNA from 1 species
GAUGAACGCUAGCUACAGGCUUAACACAUGCAAGUCGCAGGGUAACAUGAGGAAAGCUUGCUUUCCUUGAUGACGACUGGCGCACGGGUGAGUAACGCGUAUCCAACCUUCCCAUAACUACGGGAUAACCCGUUGAAAGACGGCCUAAUACCGUAUGAUAUCGUUUGCUGACAUCAAAUAACGAUUAAAGGUUUAGCGGUUAUGGAUGGGGAUGCGUCUGAUUAGCUUGUUGGCGGGGUAACGGCCCACCAAGGCUACGAUCAGUAGGGGUUCUGAGAGGAAGGUCCCCCACAUUGGAACUGAGACACGGUCCAAACUCCUACGGGAGGCAGCAGUGAGGAAUAUUGGUCAAUGGGCGAGAGCCUGAACCAGCCAAGUAGCGUGCAGGAUGACGGCCCUAUGGGUUGUAAACUGCUUUUAUGUGGGGAUAAAGUGCGUGACGUGUCAUGCAUUGCAGGUACCACAUGAAUAAGGACCGGCUAAUUCCGUGCCAGCCGCCGCGGUAAAAGGG